UUGCUGUGAUGAACCUAAAUCAACACAACAUUCUUACUGUGAAGUGAAGAAACGUUACUACUGAGCAUA